CCUACGGGUGGCAGCAGUGGGGAAUAUUGCACAAUGGGGGAAACGCUGAUGCAGCGACGCCGCGUGAGUGUAGGUGUAAUUCGUUAUGUAAAGCUCUAUCAUCAGGGAAGAAAAUUACGGUACCUGAGUCAGACGCCCCGGCUAACUACGUGCCAGAAGCCGCGGUAAUACGUAGGGGGCAAGCGUUAUCCGGAUUUACUGGGUGUAAAGGGAGCGUAGACGGCAGGGCAAGUCUGGAGUGAAAGGCGGGGGCUCAACGCGCGGACUGCUCUGGAAACUGUACGGCUGGAGUGCAGGUGCGGUAAGAGGAAUUCCUGGUGUAGCGGUGAAAUGCGUAGAUAUUAGGAGGAACACCAGUGGCGAAGGCGGCUUACUGGACUGUAACUGACGUUGAGGCUCGAAAGCGUGGGGAGCAAACAGGAUUAGAUACCCGUGUAGUC
rnacentral:rRNA from 1 species